GAAAAAUUUUUAAAUAAAGAUAUUUUAAGGGGGUUAAAGUAUUUUUAAAGAAAAAAUUAAAUAAUUUAUAGUAAAUUAGUAUUGUAAAAGAAUUUUGAAAUAGUUGAAAUAUAAAAUUAGUUUAAAGUAAUUUUAAUUUAAUGUAUCUUGGGUAUCAGAGUUUAUUAAAAAAUAUUUUUAGAAAAAAAAUUCUCGAGUUUAAAAGAGAUAAUUAAUUAAUAAAGUUAUUGUGGCAUAAAUAUUUUAAAUAAUUAAUUGGAAAUGAAAUGUUAAUCGUUUUUAAAUAUAUCUAGUUUUUUUAGAAAAAAAUUUAAUUUUAUUUUCUCUUAUGAAAAAAUUAAUUAAUUAAUUUUUUCAUAAGAGAAAAUUAUAUUUUAAGGGAUAAGCUUUAAUUUAAAUUUAUAUAAAUUUAGUUAAAUUUAAAUUGAAAUUUUUAUGAUUUAUAUUGUUAAAAAAUUUUAAUUUAUUAUAAAUAAUUUCAUUUAAAAUAAAAUUUAAUAAAUUUUUAUAUUUUUAUAAAAAAAAAUUUUUUAAUUUUAUAAAAUUUGAUAUAAUGAUAAAAUUAGUAUAUAAAAUUAUAAAUUUAAAAAUAAUUAUUUUUAAUAAAAUUAAUUAAAAGGAAUUCGGCAAAAAUUUAUAUUCACUUGUUUAUCAAAAACAUGUCUUUUUGAAAAUAAUAUAAAGUCUAAUCUGCCCACUGAUUUAAUAAUUGAAGGGCUGCAGUAUUUUGACUGUACAAAGGUAGCAUAAUCAUUAGUCAUUUAAUUGAUGACUUGUAUGAAGGAUUGGAUGAAAUAUAAACUGUCUCUUAAUUAAAUAUAGAAUUUAAUUUUUUAAUUAAAAAGUUAAAAUAAGUUAAAAAGACGAGAAGACCCUAUAGAGUUUUAUAAGUGAAUUAAUUGAGAUUAUUUAAAUAAAAAAAAAUUAAAAUUAAUUUAUUUAUUUUGUUGGGGUGACAAAAAAAUAUAUUUAACUUUUUUUAAUGUUUAAACAUUUAUAAGUGAUUAAAUGAUCCAGUAGUAUUGAUUAUAAGAAAAAAUUACCUUAGGGAUAACAGCGUAAUUUUUUUUUUUAGUUCAAAUAAGAAAAAGAGUUUGCGACCUCGAUGUUGGAUUAAGAUAAAAUUUAAAUGCAGAAGUUUAAAAUUUUUGAUCUGUUCGAUCAUUAAAAUCUUACAUGAUCUGAGUUCAAACCGGUGUAAGCCAGGUUGGUUUCUAUCUUUUAAAAGUUAAAAUAUUUUAGUACGAAAGGAUUAAAUAUUUAAAUUAAAUUUAUAUUUUUGAAUUUUAUUAAAUAAAUUUUUAUAAUU
rnacentral:rRNA from 1 species